UUGGAGGGCAAGUCUGGUGCCAGCAGCCGCGGUAAUUCCAGCUCCAAUAGCGUAUAUUAAAGUUGUUGCAGUUAAAAAGCUCGUAGUUGAAUUUCGGGGUCAGUAGGUUGGUCGUGCCACUGGUACGUACUGGUCUCACUGAUUCCUCCUUCCUGAUGAACCGUAAUGCCAUUAAUUUGGUGUUGCGGGGAAACUGGACUGCUACUUUGAAAAAAUUAGAGUGUUUAAAGCAGGCUAACGCUUGAAUACAUUAGCAUGGAAUAAUGAAAUAGGACGUUCGAUCCUAUUUUGUUGGUUUCUAGGAUUGACGUAAUGAUUAAUAGGGAUAGUUGGGGGCAUUAGUAUUCAAUUGUCAGAGGUGAAAUUCUUGGAUUUAUUGAAGACUAACUACUGCGAAAGCAUUUGCCAAGGAUGUUUUCAUUAAUCAAGAACGAAAGUUAGGGGAUCGAAGACGAUCAGAUACCGUCGUAGUCUUAACCAUAAACUAUGCCGACUAGGGAUCGGAUGAUGUUAUUUUUAAUGACUCAUUCGGCACCUUACGGGAAAC
rnacentral:rRNA from 1 species